GACAAACGCUGGCGGAAUGUAUUAGGCAUGCAAGUCGUACGAACCUCGGGUUAGUGGCGAACGGGUGAGUAACACGUGGGUAACCUGCCUCGUAGUGGGGAAUAACUCGCCGAAAGGCGAGCUAAUACCGCAUAACACCCCCGGUGAGAAUCCGGGUGGUAAAAGCUCCGGCGCUACGAGAGGGGCCCGCGGCCGAUUAGCUAGUUGGUGGGGUAAUAGCCUACCAAGGCGACGAUCGGUAGCUGGUCUGAGAGGAUGGUCAGCCACACGGGGACUGAGAUACGGCCCCGACUCCUACGGGAGGCAGCAGCUAAGAAUCUUGCGCAAUGGGCGAAAGCCUGACGCAGCAAUUCCGCGUGGGGGACGAAGGCCCUCGGGUCGUAAACCCCUUUUGUGAGGGAAGAAGUUCUGACGGUACCUCACGAAUAAGACACGGCUAACUACGUG
rnacentral:rRNA from 1 species